rnacentral:lncRNA from 1 species
AAAUCUUCCUGCAGCAGCCACGUCAAAGCUUGGCUUACGGGCUAUCGCCGUUCCUCUAGGCUGAAGUUUUGUUACUUUGUGUGUGUGUGUGUGUGUGUGUGUGUGUGUGUGUACACGUGAGUGAGAGUGAGAUUGUUGGCAUUUGUAUGAGGAUGUAGGAGAACUAGAGGUCUUGAAUAAUUACAAAUGGUUACUUUGAAAAGCAAUGUGAACAUGACUCAAGAAAAUAAAAAUAAGGUUAUUAUGUGAUCCAGUUCGAGCCCUGUGGCACAUACUCAAGAGUGUGGAAGGAUGGAAGGCACCCUUCGCUAGCCUGAUCAACGCCGUUUGGCCACUCUGAGUCUUCUAUUACUGCCCGCUUUCCUUUAUGAAAGAGCUGAGUUGCUCUUCAGCUUCCUGGCAAGCCUAACAAGAUGACAGGAAUCACAGCGAUGCUUUUCCGCAGAGCAAGACUUUCUAUCCCAUAGGAACCAGCUUGUUCUCAGUGAUGACAGUAAUACCGACUUUGACAGAUUCCCCUUGCAGAAGUAGACCAAGAUGAGUGAUCGAUCACUCGCUGAGCAAAAUCACACACUCCCGCGGAGUACCUGCUCCAGCUCCCUUCACUUCUCGUUCUGUAAGAUCUCAACGUCAGCAGCUUGAAGACAGACUUGGGAGGGUGUCACUAAACCCAUUUCCCUGUUUUUUCCUAAUCUGACCACAUUGUGCCUUUAAUGUCUGAUGUAGGUAAGGGUCAUCUGUUGAGACUUGCAAAACCAGGGCUUCUGCCCUAAAACCCUGGCAACAUUGACGGUGACACUACUCAACAGAACCACGUCUAGAUGACAGCACGUCGUCCAUCAGAAGAUGCCUCCUGUGUGUGCCCUGAGCUGUAUUCUGAAGCCAGCCUUGAGGUGGAUGCUUCGGAAGCACUUUAGACACUUCUCACAUAAGCACCGAGGAGAGCUGCCUCUCACAGGACUCUGCGCUGCGCCCCAGGGCUGCGAUAAUGAGCUGCAGGCAGUCAUUUGCUGCCUGUGAUCUGCAGCUCCCCGAGUGCUGGCCAAGGCCUUGGCAGGGACCGUGUUGGCUGGGCUACUAGCAUUGAUUAAAUGGGUGUAAAGAGAAUCCACAUGAUCUUAAGGAAUAUUUUUAUGGGCAAAAAUCCAUCAGCAACACCUACAACACUAACACUCCGAGAAAUGUCCAUUUGAGAGGAGAAUGCCCAAGCGUGUGUUAGCUCAGUGUGAAAGACACUAAAACAAAGGAAUCUGAACGUGCUGCCACCAGCUCGUGGGUCAUCUGAUUGGGGUUGUCUUGACAAAGCAAUGCAUUUCUUCUGCUAUGAUGUCACCUUUGUCCAAUCAUAACCUCCUUUAUGAGAGGAGAGGAUAACUCUGGAGACAAGGUGAAUGACAGCAGGGAGCCGCGCAGCAGUCACUAGGCAACAAGAACCAGCCUUCAGUGAAUGAGAAUUCUAAAGCGUUUAACCCUUAUGCUGGCUGAUGCUGGACUGGUGGGAACCUCAGCACAGAAGCCAGUAGGAAAUGCGACUGUCUGUCCGUCUCCAAGAAACAAAGGGGGUGGUGGUGUGGGAUUCCCUCCUCGGUCUGAGACGGUUAGGACCUCCUUGAUGUUUUCUCAUAGCUCUUCCUUCGGUUGUUCUGCCUAAGCAGGCUGCACGGAUCACAAAAGGCAUGUCACAAAGGGGAAUGUCUCUGAGGUCAGCCCGCACCCCCUCAGUGUAGGCUACGGUUAUGGCAGUGUGGAGACAGAUGGAUGUCUGUCCAGUGCACUGCUUGCUUCAUGAGGUACGCUGAGCAGUUUGUCCACCUGGGACAGGUGCUCUUCUUCCUCGCUUGCACAGAAUUGCUGCCUGGACAUGUGGGGUGAAGCCCACAAGAAAGCACUCACUCUCUCUCUCUCUCUCUCUCUCACUAACUAAACAAAAGUUCUACAAAAUUGCCCCUCCUCCUUCCUGAAUUUAGCACAUGGCUAGACAGGUCCAGAGUGAACUACUCAUCUUGUUUUCAAACUGGGGUCCUAGAAUCCCCUUAUUCAGAUGGUUUUGGUUAGGGUUUGAACGUGCAGUGGUGAGGUUUCCCUUGAAACUGGGCUCUUACAUUGUUAUUGUUAUUAUUGUUCAUUUGAGGGCCCUUGUCCUUUAACUUUAUUUUCUUCCCAUUCGCAUUUACAUAGUAUGGUGAUGAUCUCUUUAAGAGAACUCCUCUGUGUUUUGUUGUUGUUGUUUUUUUCCCCAGAUCAUAAACUGACCAGUGAGUGCUGCUGUGAGGUAGAACCCUAGAGAACAGGGCUCAUCCUAUUUUCUGUAACAACCUGGUCUACCUACUCACCUACCCGGCAUAAGCAUAGGCCUGUGUGCGUGAAUGAGACAAUCAGCUGAUUAACUAAUUUAAUUCAUGGUGUUCUGUCCAGAGAUAUCUAAUAGAAGACAGAUGAGUAGCAUCUUAAAAUUGUCAGAAGCCUAGCAAAAAGUAGUGGCCCAAGCCUACAAUUAUAGCACUUGAAAAGAGGAGGCAGGAGCAUUGCCGUGAGUCUGGGGCUAACCUGGGCUGUAUAAUGUAAGGGACCAUCUC